AACGAACGCUGGCGGCAUGCCUAACACAUGCAAGUCGAACGAGACCUUCGGGUCUAGUGGCGCACGGGUGCGUAACGCGUGGGAACCUGCCCUUAGGUUCGGAAUAACUCCCCGAAAGGGGUGCUAAUACCGGAUAAUGUCUUCGGCCCAAAGAUUUAUCGCCUUUGGAUGGGCCCGCGUUGGAUUAGCUAGUUGGUAGGGUAAAAGCCUACCAAGGCGACGAUCCAUAGCUGGUCUGAGAGGAUGAUCAGACACACUGGGACUGAGACACGGCCCAGACUCCUACGGGAGGCAGCAGUGGGGAAUAUUGGACAAUGGGCGAAAGCCUGAUCCAGCAAUGCCGCGUGAGUGAUGAAGGCCUUAGGGUUGUAAAGCUCUUUUACCCGGGAUGAUAAUGACAGUACCGGGAGAAUAAGCUCCGGCUAACUCCGUG
rnacentral:rRNA from 1 species